UGAGGAAUAUUGGUCAAUGGACGAGAGUCUGAACCAGCCAAGUAGCGUGCAGGAUGACGGCCCUAUGGGUUGUAAACUGCUUUUGUUUGGGAAUAAUCGACAUUACGUGUAAUGUUUUGCAUGUACCAUUCGAAUAAGGACCGGCUAAUUCCGUGCCAGCAGCCGCGGUAAUACGGAAGGUCCAGGCGUUAUCCGGAUUUAUUGGGUUUAAAGGGAGUGUAGGCGGCCUGUUAAGCGUGUUGUGAAAUGUAGAUGCUCAACAUCUGAACUGCAGCGCGAACUGGCUGGCUUGAGUACACGCAACGUGGGCGGAAUUCAUGGUGUAGCGGUGAAAUGCUUAGAUAUCAUGAGGAACUCCUAUUGCGAAGGCAGCUCACGGGAGUGUCACUGACGCUUAAGCUCGAAGGUGCGGGUAUCAAACAGG
rnacentral:rRNA from 1 species